ACUGUGGGGAGAACGUCUCUGUACAAUAACAAACAUACAACUCUUAGCGGUGGAUAUCUCGGUUCUCGCAACGAUGAAGAACGCAGCCAACUGCGAUAACUAAUGUGAAUUGCAGGACUUCGUGAAUCAUUGAGUCUUUGAACGCAAGUUGC
rnacentral:rRNA from 1 species